rnacentral:rRNA from 1 species
AUUGAACGCUGGCGGCAUGCCUUACACAUGCAAGUCGAACGGCAGCACGGGGGCAACCCUGGUGGCGAGUGGCGAACGGGUGAGUAAUACAUCGGAACGUGUCCUGUAGUGGGGGAUAGCCCGGCGAAAGCCGGAUUAAUACCGCAUACGACCUGAGGGAGAAAGCGGGGGAUCUUCGGACCUCGCGCUAUAGGGGCGGCCGAUGGCAGAUUAGCUAGUUGGUGGGGGAAAGGCCUACCAAGGCGACGAGCGGUAGCUGGUCUGAGAGGACGCACGGACACACUGGGACUGAGAGACAGCCCAGACUCCUACGGGAGGCAGCAGUGGGGAAUUUUGGACAAUGGGGGCACCCCUGAUCCAGCAAUGCCGCGUGUGUGAAGAAGGCCUUCGGGUUGUAAAGCACUUUUGUCCGGAAAGAAACCCAUUGCCCUAAUAUGGUGGUGGGAUGACAGUACCGGAAGAAUAAGCACCGGCUAACUACGUGCCAGCAGCCGCCGUAACAC